rnacentral:rRNA from 1 species
GUCCACGCCGUAAACGAUGAGCACUAGUUAUUGGGGGUAUUGACUCCCUCAGUGACGCAGCUAACGCAUUAAGUGCUCCGCCUGGGGAGUACGGUCGCAAGACUAAAACUCAAACAAAUUGACGGGGGCCCGCACAAGCGGUGGAUUAUGUGGUUUAAUUCGAAGCAACGCGCAGAACCUUACCUAGGCUUGAACUCCUACGAAUCCGGGGUAAUUCCUGGAGUGUCCGCAAGGAAAUGUAGUGAGAGGUGCUGCAUGGCUGUCGU